GAUUCUAGAACCAUCCUCAGUCUGCUAGGAAGAUGCAAGAAAAAUAAUUACCAGUGGGCAACACUGUUUGUCUUUGUGAUUAUAUGUCACCACUGGAUGGAGCUUUCCUUAUGACUGCUCUGUGGAGGGGCCCUGCAUUGUUUGCUGAAGCUGCGGUGACGCAGCCUGAAAGCAGGUGUCUGGUUUCCAGCCCUGGGCUCCCGAGGGCUCCAUGGCCCACAGGUGGUCCACAGGCUGAACGAAGGGCAUUCUGUGAUCCGGGGACUGAUGGAGACACAAAAUGGAAGCAGCUUGAGUCCCUGAGUCACCCGUGCAGGGGCGUCAUCCACCACCAGGAUCACCUACACUGGCAGCUUACAUGGCAGAGAAAUAAAUUUCUGUUG